rnacentral:rRNA from 1 species
CCUGCGAGUCUUUGUAGUAAUACAAGGCAGACGGCCUCAGUAACACGUAGUCAACCUACCCUAUGGACGAGAAUAAUCUCGGGAAACUGAGCAUAAUUCUUGAUAGAUCAUAAUGCCUGGAAUGGUUUAUGGUUAAAAUGAUUCGUCGCCAUAGGAUGGGACUGCGGCCUAUCAGCUUGUUGGUGAGGUAAUGGCCCACCAAGGCGAUUACAGGUACGGGCUCUGAGAGGAGAAGCCCGGAGAUGGGUACUGAGACACGGACCCAGGCCCUAUGGGGCGCAGCAGGCGAGAAAACUUUGCAAUGUGCGAAAGCACGACAAGGUUAAUCCGAGUGAUUUCUGCUAAAGAAAUCUUUUGCCAGUCAUAAAACCACUGGUGAAUAAGGGGUGGGCAAGUUCUGGUGUCAGCCGCCGCGGUAAAACCAGCACCUCAAGUGGUCAGGAUGAUUAUUGGGCCUAAAGCAUCCGUAGCCGGCUUUGUWAGUUUUCGGUUAAAUCCAUGUGCUCAACRCAUGGGCUGCCGAAAAUACUGCAUAGCUAGGGAGUGGRAGAGGUAGACGGUACUCAGUAGGAAGGGGUAAAAUCCUUUGAUCUAUUGAUGACCACCUGUGGCGAAGGCGGUCUACCAGAACACGUUCGACGGUGAGGGAUGAAAGCUGGG